rnacentral:rRNA from 1 species
GACGAACGCUGGCGGCGUGCUUAACACAUGCAAGUCGAACGGAAAGGCCCUGCUUUUGUGGUGUGCUCGAGUGGCGAACGGGUGAGUAACAAGUGAGUAACCUGCCCUUGACUUUGGGAUAACUUCAGGAAACUGGGGCUAAUACCGGAUAGGAGCUCCUGCUGCAUGGUGGGGGUUGGAAAGUUUCGGCGGUUGGGGAUGGACUCGCGGCUUAUCAGCUUGUUGGUGGGGUAGUGGCUUACCAAGGCUUUGACGGGUAGCCGGCCUGAGAGGGUGACCGGACACACUGGGACUGAGAUACGGCCCAGACUCCUACGGGAGGCAGCAGUGGGGAAUAUUGCACAAUGGGCGGAAGCCUGAUGCAGCAACGCCGCGUGCGGGAUGACGGCCUUCGGGUUGUAACCCGCUUUCGCCUGUGACGAAGCGUGAGUGACGGUAAUGGGUAAAGAAGCACCGGCUAACUACGUG